GACGAACGCUGGCGGCGUGCUUAACACAUGCAAGUCGAACGGAAAGGCCCUGCUUUUGUGGGGUGCUCGAGUGGCGAACGGGUGAGUAACACGUGAGUAACCUGCCCUUGACUUUGGGAUAACUUCAGGAAACUGGGGCUAAUACCGGAUAGGAGCUCCUGCUGCAUUGUGGGGGGUGGAAAGUUUCGGCGGGUGGGGAUGGACUCGCGGCUUAUCAGCUUGUUGGUGGGGUAGUGGCUUACCAAGGCUUUGACGGGUAGCCGGCCUGAGAGGGUGACCGGCCACAUUGGGACUGAGAUACGGACCAGACUCCUACGGGAGGCAGCAGUGGGGAAUAUUGCACAAUGGGCGGAAGCCUGAUGCAGCAACGCCGCGUGCGGGAUGACGGCCUUCGGGUUGUAAACCGCUUUCGCCUGUGACGAAGCGUGAGUGACGGUAAUGGGUAAAGAAGCACCGGCUAACUACGUG
rnacentral:rRNA from 1 species